ensembl:lncRNA
GAGAUAUCAGAAGACUGAAGGAGUUGUGAUGGAUGUACUGUAUGAGAAAAUGGAAGUGCUGGAAAUAAACUUGGGGAAAUCAUAAAAUCGUAGGAGGUGGUUAGAUGAGUUCAUUGCUUUCCUCAGUGCAUGAAUUUCUAUGGCCAGUCACAGGAAAAGGCUUUCCUUAGGAACAUUUCUGCGGUGCAAGUUUCCGCUGUCAGUGCUCCAAGCCCAACUGUGACCACAUUGCUGCAGCUGGCGCUGGGCUGGAUAUGAUCACCCCAAAACUUCAGAGAAACAGAGUCCAUUUAGAGGGGACUUUCAGCUGCAGUUACAGUGCUGAGGAAAUGCCUGCUUCUUAAAGACGUACAGCAUAAAUAUCCAACAGAAAGCUGAGAAGAGUGUCAUGAAAACAUUCAAGAAGUAAUUUGAAAUGAAGAAUCCCUGACUGUCUCAUCACAAGUUCAUCUGCCACAGGAAGGCUAACCUUUGAAGAAACAUUUAUCAGAGUGAGCUAUUUGAUCAGGUGUAGCUCGGAGGUGGAUUUCCUUUCAGUGGUAUGUAGCUCCAAGCCAGCGCCCUGAUUGCUGUUACUCACACUGCAAUAUUGGACUCUGUGCCCUCCUUCUCUUCCUAAAAGGGCUACUCCUAGUCCUCACGAGACAGUGCAGUCUGGGAAGGCGACUGAGAAAUAAAAGAUCCUCUGCUAAUCCCAAAAGAAAACAAACACUGCAGAAAUGAACUGGAAAAUGUCAAAAUGUGGAAAUACAUUUUCUGGAGUGGAGGACAGCAAUAUACUAUAAGAGAUAUGUAUGCUGUAUACAGAACAUUCUUCUGUUUUGAUCCUUCUUCAGCAUUUACUACAUGAAAGAAUAAAACAGGGGACAAGGCAGUUGGUAUUAUCAAUUACUAGUUUAUCAUGGGAUCAAUCAAAUAAACAAAAAAAAAAAAAAAAAAAAACCAAAUCAACCAAGACAAAAAGAAUGCAAGUGUAUGGAAACUAUAAAAAAAGGUUGAAAAAAGGACUGUAGGUGUAAAUGCAAGGCUGAAAGAAAAGUGUUGGUCCCAAAUAAAGGAAUAUAAGCUACUCACAAGCCCAAAGCAGAGUCAAACCAUUACAAAGCCAGGACAAAACCCUCAUUGCCUAACUGACACUGAGUACCUAGAGCCCAGAUCUUAUGUCCUGCUUAACAUCCGCUGAGGAAAAUAAGUUGCACUAUCAUUUCUAGCAGGUCAGAAAUACUGUACAUCAAAGACCUUGCACACCUCAUUGAACCACACAGAUUUGAAGUAGCUACCUGUAUUGAAGGUUCUUUACACGAUUGUCCUGAAAUUAGGUUUGCCUAGGAGUGUCAAGGAUGGAGACCUUGACUGGAUUCCUUGCGGAUCAGUUAUGCACUGUGGCCCCUAUCUUGUAAAUACCUAAAACUUCUUACAUGUUAUGUUCCCGCAAUUAACCUGAAAAUGCUUUUGCCAUGUGUUCAUUCCCUUUCUCUUUUUUCCAUAUUUUUUUCUAGACAUUUUGUGUUUUCCUGAGCAUGGGACAGUAAAAUUCUCAAGUUGAUGGGUCUGACUUUGUAUUCUAAAUUGCCUAAACUGCAAAAAAAGUAAAACUUUGAUAUUUCAGAGUUAAUUUUAAUGUGGCAGACUAAUCAGAUAUGGAGAUCCCUGACUCCAGCCAAGGUAGAAGGAUAUUUAGUCAUAGUAAGAGGUCAGAUCUGAGCUCUUAUGCUAGUUAAAGGCAUCUAUAUUACUGGAACAUACCUCAGGUCACUGAUUCACUCUAUUAAAUGGAACAGAAGUAGCUUAAUUUGGACAGCAUAUCAUGGUGUGAUAGAGCAUUGCAGUGAAAAGAGUACAGGAGGAAAUUUAAAAGAGUUAGGUUCCUUCUCCAGGUACAUACCUUCAGCUCUUUUGUAGUCUUGAGCAAAUUUGCUAGCUAUUAUCACUGUAAAAGAAUGAGGAAUAAGAAUAUGAUUAAUAAGAAGGAGACUUGUGACUUCAAGUAUGUACAGGUGAAGGGAAGGGCCCCUCAGGGAGCUACAACUGCUCAGUUUACCAAACAGUCAACGAACAAUUUUUAUUUUGGAUUUUGGUUUUGGUGCUUUGCCAAUUCCCAACUGAACGAGCAACAAAUUUCAGUGUGAUGGGAGGGCAAAUUCUUCAAUUAGCUUCAUCAAUAAAAUAAUAUAACUCUCUCUAGUUAACGAUGUCUUCAUCUUAGUUUCUCAUUGUUGGAUAUUAGUGGCUAUGUCUUCUGAGAGAUCAACUGUAAAUUAAUGCCUGUGGUCUGCCACAGCAGUAUUUCAGCUUUCACUGAAGUCUAGGAACAGUUGAAAUGAUUCCUCUCCAUUGUUUGUCCAUAGCAUGGGGCUAAACAUUAGCUUACAUUCCUGGUAUACAUAUAUAUAUAUAUAUACAUACACACAAAUUUUCUUUAAACAACCAAAGUUAAGUAAAUGUCAAAAUAUUAGCAUCUGUAUAAAUAAUUGUCUUGGUAAAUGAGUAUGUUGCUUUCUGUUUAGAAGAUUUGCAUGAGUACAGGAAAGGAAAAGUUAUUUUGUAGCACAACACACAGACGUUGACUGUUGUUUUGUGUUUUUUUCUUUCAAAAAAAAAAUCACAAAGUAAAAUAAGUAUUUUAUGAGAGUGCUGGCUUUUCUAAGGGCAAAAAUCAUAGAAUCACCAAGGUUGGAAAAGACCUACAAGAUCAUCCAGCCCAACUGUAAAAUCUCCUCCUCACUUUCUAACACACAUUUUAAAUGAAAAAAAGAAAAAUUAAAAAUCCUGUGGUAAAGUUGUAUAUUUCUAUCAUAGGAAUCCUACUAGAAACUGCAAAGCUUUUAUUGAAUACAUUUAUGAUAAUCUAUGAAGAACAGAAGCUCACUUCUCAUCAUCAUCCUACUCCUAUAGUAGCCUGACCAUAGAGCAACUAUGCACACUAUGUCCCUUAGGGUGCUGCUUAGUGUACAGUUUCCCCAGAGUUUAAAUGAUUUAGAAGGUUCUUAUUUUUAUCUGUCAGGUUUAAUUGGACUAAAAACCAAAGCAAAGAUCUUUUUAAAAUUGAGAAAGCUCGGAUCUGAUGAGUGAGACUGUUAAACCAAUCAUCCUCACCCACCAUAUACUUCUUUUUUUUCUCAUCUCAGUUUCAGUUUAACAAUUUCAGGAGGAUUUUUAGAUUGCAGCACACUUUCCAGGACUUAUUUCUGGGACCUGGGCAUUAAUUUUGAUAUACGAUAUCUUUGAGGACAGGCUACAUACCUACUUUCCUCUGCCUUCUCCCCUUGAUAGGGACAGUUAAUUUGUUGGGAGGUCUUCUUCUCCUCUCUUCUUGCUCUCCCUACCCCAUCACACAGUCCAGAAAGGCCUUCCCACUGAGCAACUCUGUUCCCAGCAGCUCACAGUGCAAACCAGUGUGCAGCAGGCAGAACAAAAUAAACAAUCAGUCUUCCUCUCUACAGAUUAGACCACUCUUCCUGAAUGAAUAUAAUGUACAGUGACUGUGAAUAAAUCCAUUAAACAGGUGCACAAUCCAUCACAAAUGCACGAGAUCACUUCAUGCUUUUCCAUCUUCAUAUUACAGAAGUUUAAGAUAAACAGUUGUCUCCACAAGACUGAUUUAUAAUACAGGCAGCACUGAACCCCUCACACAUAUUGCCACUGGGCCUUCAAGAAUCCACCUCCAUGUAGCUUUGGUUGGAGUCCUGUCACACCUUUCGUUCUCUGCUCUCUUGUGUACUGCUGUGACUGUGACUGCAAUUCCAGGAAAUUUGAACUAGAUAAUUUGCAAAAAAAAAAAAAGCUUUAUAUUCACAGAGCAUUUAUAUUCACAGAAUCCAAAGGUAAUGACUGGGACAAUGAAAUACCACUCACUGUAGGCGAAGAUCAGAUUCAAGAUCAUUGGAGGAACAUGUGCACAAGUUCAUGGAACUCAACAUGAGCCCAUAGUGUGCACUUGCAUCCCAGAAAGCCAGCUGUCUCUUUGGUAUCAUCAAAGGAAGUGUAGGUAGAAAGUUGAGGGAGGUGAUUCUCCCCUUCUACUCUGCCCUCAUGAGACCUCACCUGGAGAACGGCAUUCAGCUCUGGGACCAAGGGCACAAAAAAGAUGUGGAGCUGUUAGAGCAGGUCCAAAGGAGGGCCAUAGAGAUGAUCAGAAGGAUGGAGCACCUCUCCUACAGGUUGAGAGAGUUGGAGUUCAUCAGUCCAGACAGGAAAAGGCUCUGAUGAGACUUUAUAGUGUAUUUACAAUAUGUAAAGGAGGUCGACACAAAAGAUGAGGAGAGUCUCUGUCAAGGAGUGUAGUGAUAGGAGAAGUGGCAAAAAAUUUAAACAAAAAUAGGGUAGUUCUUAAUUAGAGAUUAGGAAGAAUUUAUUUACUGGGUCAGUACUGGGUCUGAAAAUCUUUAAUAUCUUCAUCAAUGACAUCAACAGUGGGGUCAAGUGCACCCUCAGCAUGUUUGCGGAUGGCAUAGAGCUUUGUGUUGCAGUCAACACAAGGGACAGGAUGCCAUUCAGAGACCUAGACAGGCUCGAACAGUAUGCUCAAGUGAACCUCAUGAGUUUCAGCAAAACCAAGUGCAAGGUCUUGAACAUGGGUCAUGGCUACUCCUGCUAUCAGUACAAGAUGGGGGAUAUAAAGGUGGAGCACAGCCCUGCUGAAAAGGACUUGGGGGUACUGAUGGAUGGGAAGCUGGACAUGAGCCAGCAACAUGCCCUCACAGCCCAUAAAGCCAACUGUAUUCUGGGCUGCAUCAAAAGAAGUGUGGCCUGCAGGGCAAGGGAGGUGAUCCUGCCCCUCUACAUUGCAGGGGGGUUGAACUAGAUCACCUUUAAGGGUCCCUCCCAACUCUAUGACUCUAUGAGAUAUGUCUUAUCUCUUCUAGGCAUUGAAAUGCAGCUUUGUACCUUAAAAAGUGGCAAUAUCAAGACUCAUGUUUAAUGUAAUAAAAGCAGUACCAUAUCUGUAUCCAGAACACAUAAAGUUACAGUCUUCUGGGAUUUAGAAAUUGCCUUUCACAUAACUCAAGCGACAAUCCAGGCUUCAGACCAAUGAUAUUUCAGAUCUUAAUUUUUUUUCUGGUUUGCAUUAAAAUGACACACCUUUGCAAGCCCCUUAGGGAUGCAGAACACAUACAGAGUGAAAAUGUUGGGAGUUGCAAGGUAUCCUCCUGGCAAUAAGAGCUUUAUUACAACACUUUGUCCUCUUCCAGGUUAUAUACCAAUAUUACAAAAUGUUUGUCCAGAUUGAGUGUUUUUAAAGUAAAUUGCUAAUGAGAAAUAAUGAAAUGCUGAUACUUUUCCUUCCUUCCGCAAUUUCUUAUUUAAGACACCAAAAUCCCAAUAUUAACUUAUUCCCUUCAGAGUCAUAGGACAGACUCUGGCUUACUAACUUCCUGCCUAAUGGAUCCUUCUGCAUAAAUUGGGCUUAUAGGGGUUUAUUCUUCCCUAGAGAGAAGAUAGCUGGAUUAUGAUUUUUGUUGUUGUUGUUGUUCUUUAUCUAUUAUUUACAUAGCAAAAUCAUUCCUGUUUUUUCUUGCUGAAAAUGUACAGUUAUUCCUGGCAACAGUAAAAGAGUUUUGUUAGUGUAAUAAUUGACCUAUUACUGUAUUUUUUUCUAAAUAUAUAUUACAGAAAUGUUCAAUGUAGUGCACAUCCAAUUUGGACGGGUAUAAUUGAUGUACUCACUAUGAUUGAGACACUACAUUAAGAAAUAAAAAUAUUUUUACACAGUUGCCCAAAUGUUGGAGAUAAUACAUAUACACUUGCAUCUGCAAAAAAUCUUUGAUUCUCCUUUCAUUUUUCCAACAUCAUGCUCAGCAUUAAAAUACAGAUAAUAUUUGUUAACAGAAAUUAAUAUAUACUUAGAAAGAAAAUGCAUUUCAGUUCAGCUUUAAGUAGACUACAUAUUACUUUGUUUAAGUAUUAAAGGAUGCCUUUAUAGAAAUUCCAUAUCAUUACUAAUCUGAAGAGUUUUUAGAUAUCACUGUUUGAAAAGCAGGCUCCAUUAGGCCCAAGGAAUUUUCUCUGCUGAUAUUUAGCUGUUAGCAAGGGUGACCUCAGUCUCUGACUAAUGUGAAUAUCAUGAUUAAUGGGGGCAUUUGGUCACAUGCCCGAGGAGAUGACAUGCUUCAGGUAAGGCUGUGUCACAAGAAAUCAUUAAACACAGAAAUCUGUCAAUCUAAUAGCUAACCACACACAGAAUCCACAACUGUAGAGAGAGUUAUUUAAAGGUAGCAGCAUUCUCCAGAGGAAGUGGAAACUCAAUUGGGCAUAGUAACAACUGUGUGAAAGAGGUAUUUCAUGUGACAACAGUGAACUAUUUUUAUCCUUGCAGAUGGCUGUGAUGGCCCCCUUUAAGUACUGGAAGGAUGCUGUAAGGUGACUGGGGACUUCUCCAGGCUGAACUACCCCAGCUCUCUAAGCCUUUCAGUAUAGACAGCCUGUCUCUGUUUUCUCAGAAUUUUCCUCCUGGAUAUACAGCCUUCAAGCAAGUUAUCCUCUUUUCAGUUUCUGGAAGUGGUCUCAGGUACACAAGGCCAGCUUCCUCAUACUAUCAUAGAAUCAUAGAAUCACCAAGGUUGGAAAAGACCCACAGGAUCACCCAGUCCAACCAUAUCCUCGUGGGACAAGUGCUCCUUACCUCUGCCAUCUCAGUGGCCUCUGCUGAUGCAACUCCAGUUUGUCAAUGUCUCAAUUAAAAAUAAGUAGUGUAUUGUAGAAUCUGUAAGAAUCUCAAUAUGACUGAAGCAGUCAGAAUAUGAGAAAUACUGAAUCAGAUAAUUUUUGAUGCGAGUAGCUUUUUUUUAUUUGCAUCUGGAAUACUAUAAAUGAUGUAUUGUAGAAAACAGACACAAAAUAUGAACUUCAAGGAACUCAUUUUUCAAACCUUCUGGAUUAUAAUUUAUCCAAAUGAAUUGAAGUCAAUAUACUUUGAAUUUUCUUAUUCCUACUCUUAUUUUUACUUUUGUAUCCUGUCAAAUAUGCUUCAGCCCAAAAACAAAGGGGUUCAUGUACUACUAGACCUUGAUGAAUAUGGUCUUUUCCCAUGGCAAAGUAUUACAUAAGGAUUUAAAAAGAACAGCUAAGCAUGUAGAAUAUUCAUUACAGUUGACUGUGAAAUUCCCUAAUGUGCACAAAAAAACCUGCUACCUACCCAAUUCAGUUAAAUCACCCUACAUUUUGUAGAAGAUAUCAAAAAAAAAAAAUCUAACCAAUUUCAUAAAAAGAAUAAUAGCAAGAAAAAAAAAAUAGCAUUAGCCCAUGCUACUGACAUUCAUCAUUUUAACCAAGUUAGAAGCAGAAGAGAAAAUUCAGUGAAUUACCAUAAAGAAUUAUAAGUAGAGAAAGAUUUUUUAUGGUAAUGUGUGAGCAACAUGUUGUGUAUUUCAAUCUUUUCCCUACAGGCAUUUUUGGAGUUUUUUUGGUCAAUGAUAACAAAAUAGUUCACCAAUUACCAGGUCAAUCCCAAAAUUUAAAAAAAAAAAAAAAUGGUAUUGAUAUUUAGCUCUGUCUUUAUGUUAUGGGAAAAGAUAUGGAAAUUGCAUAUCUUUGGUACAUUUCCAAUGCUCUAAAAAAAAAAAAAAAAAAAAAAUGUUAUCUAAUGCUCAGUAAUGUGGAACCCUGCUCUCUCUUCCUCUCCCUGCUUGCUCACAUAUGCCACAACUUGUUCCUACCUUUGUGACUAAAACCGAAGAAGUGUACUUAUAGAUGCAUUCUGCCACUUUCAUUCUCGGAAUUCCCUUGCAGGAAUAUUGUCCUUUCUGUCCAAGUGAAACUGAGGCCUUACAAGCACCAUAAAAUGUUUUCCAUGCCACAGUUUAAUUUGAUUUCAAGACUGUCAUUUCUGAUAGAAGGAACAAGAUAGAACAUUUCUAGUAGUUUAAUGAGGGGGAACACUACCUUUCCUUCUUAAAGUUUUAGUCAAAAAUCACCUCUAACUCCUGCUACAAUAUUUAUUUUUAUAUUUUCUGUUUGAAAAGCUUUUACAAGGUAAGAAAAAUCUACACAAUUCAGAAGUCCUUUACUUUUGCCAGUCUGCUUACAGGUUAAAGCAUUACACAGAAACCUCACAAUCUGAACUUGAUAAUCUUUUCAAAUGAUACACUAAAACCAUCACCCAGUUUCAUUAGGUAGUGCACACGCUGAGUUCUUGACUCACCUACUGCCUGCAGCAGCUGUUGCCCAGUGACUGAAUUAGUUACUGGGAGAAUAAAGACACCUGGGACAAAGGCACUUCCUUUUCCAUUCUGAGGUUCCUCACUGUGGUGCCAUGGCAAGGCUAGUGCAAGGUUAUUUUGAUUCUGAAUCUGGCAAUUGCAUUAGUCCCUACACAAAAGAGACAAAGAGCUGAGAGCAUAGUACUUAUGAGUGACAGCAAGUGUAAUGAUCAGUGUAAAAGCUAUUCUCCUUAUUUCACUCUUAAAACUUCAUCGUUUGUCCACGCUUUUCUUAAAAGUGUAUGUUUUCUUGAGUAAUUGACACACUGUUGGAAAGUUUUUCAAGAUCGAGUGAACUAAACCAACUAAAAUGAAUCCUAUCCUAUGAAGGUUUCACUAAGAUUGCAAGAAUACUCAUGUUCUGAAAAUUAUCAAAAGUUAAAAAGGAAACCAAUCCUAGUUUAUACAAAUUAAUGCCAUUUUAAAGCCUAUGUUCAAGACUAAGGCCACAGUGACAACAGAUGUGUCAAAUUUUCAGCUGAUUUUAAUCAGUAAAAUUCUCUGGGUUCCAAUAGAGUUUUUCUGAUUAAAAGCAGCUGAGAAUCUGGACCAAUUAUUUACAAAUAAAUUAUUCAUGAAAUAAUGGGGGAAAUUGCAAAUAAAUAAUGUUACUGAUAUGGCCUGGACACUAUUUUUACAAAAACAGAAUUUGAUAAUUAAUUGACAAAAAAAAAAUCAGUUGUCAUUACUAUUCAUCCCAUGUAAAAAGAACUUGGUAUACUGUAAUAACGUGAUAACAGUGACUGCAGAAUUGUUUAUUGGAUAAUUGCAAGCUAUAGGAGUGGAAAGCAUGUGUAUAGCUUACUCUGAGAUAGAAGCUCUUUUGUUAAUUAUAUUGCUAUUACAAGUCUACUAAUCACGCUAAUAUGAAACAAAGAUCAGUUUGACUCCAAAUAUCCAAAUAAAGUAUUUCAGAGUAGAUUAUGGAACAAAUCUUGACAAAUCUUGCAAGUGGCGGAACCGAUUUGAACAUGUGCCUCUGAAAAACAUCACUUGUUUAUACCUGAGAAUAGUGAGAGAAAAUAGAGAGGAAUCACAGUAUUGGAUACAUAAGCUAUUACUGGGUUCCAAAAACAACGCAGUACGCUAUUCCUAACAUCAGGCUCAGCAUCAACAGAGGAAACAAGCUGGAAAUUUGAAAUUAGUUAAACUUGCCGUGUUUCAACUGCAUCCUGGAUAUGUCCCAAGUAAGUAUAAACAAAUUUAAAUAUACUGAAUAAACAUCUGGACCAUUAAUAUUGUCAUAUAUAAUCAAAUGAGAAAACCAUUGCUUAGACUCAGUCAACUUUCCCAGGUACUAGGAACACUAGAAAAAACAGUCUUAAUUGUGCAAGCCAACAUAUGUCAAGCAUUACCAUAUUACCAAAUUAUUUAACAUAGCAAUUAAAAAUUCUCCCAGAGAACAUCACUAUUAAAAGCAAGGAGUUCAGUUCCCGUAGCUAUCUGUGCUUGGUAUUUAUUUUUUUAGAUUUCAUUAGCUUCUGAAUGCAUCAACAACUUUACUACUGUGGAAGACUCACAGAGCUUUAGGCCCUGAAGUUUGUUUUCAGUUCAAUAUUCAGCCAAAAUAGACAAAUUGAAGUCUCAUAUCUUCUGCUAAUGUAGUAAUAGGGGUAGCUGAGACCCAGCAUCAGCAGAAUCCAACAUUUUUCAUAAAUUCUUCAUAUCUGACAGUACUGAAUGUUUUUACUUGGUACAUCACUAUUCCCCUUCCCUUUGCUCUCUUCCAUUCCAUGUCUGUCAUCUUUUUCUCAUUGUAUGCCAUAGACCAGCACAAGUCAGACUGUAACUACUAUCUUGUGUUUCAUGCCAACAAGGCUCCCAUUUGCUUGGAAACCAUAGUUCUAGGAGAAAACAGUUUGGGAAAAAAAGACUUGCAUCUUCCUUCCAUUGCUGGCCUACGUUUAUAACAUCCUUCUAUCACUCUCAGUAAAACUGUAAAAAAAUUUUCUGUCAAGAAAACCAAACUAGAGGCAUUAUCUUUCCUGGUUAAGCUGAUAAAUUCUUUCCUGUCCUCAAUAGUCUUCAAAAGUCUGCACCAACACAGUGAGGUGUUAGUGCAAGUCUUGGGCUCAUGUCUCAUGGACAAGUUUGAAAAGAGGGCAAGUAAUUUUGUUCAAAAUUAUUGCUCGUAUUUCUUCUGUUUGGAUUACAAUUUUGCAGGGAUUUCUCUUUAAAUUGCAGGAAGGAUACUUGACAUUUUUUGUGAAAGGGAAAACAUUGCUCUGUCAGUUCUUUCUUUCUCCUUCACUUCUAUUAUAUGUAUAUAUGUGAGCGCAAAAUGUAGUCAACUAAUCCUGACUACAAAAAUGUUGAAGUGUAACUACUCUUUUUUGUAUUCUGUCAAAUACUGAAUGCUAAAACUGUGGUUGUUUGGGGACCAGAGCAUCAUCCUUUGUGUUUUAUAGCAACCCACAUAAUAGAAAACGUGAGCGUAACUGCUUCCAUUUCAGCAGAAUUACAUUUUGUCUUCAGUGGUGCAAAUAGCAUUGCAGUCCAGGGUAGGAUUAGAAAGGUGCUUAUCCACUGAAUGCGCUUUCUGUUGCUUUGGCAUUAUGUAAUUCUAAGUCUCUCACAAAUCACUUUCAGUUAAGUAGGGGGAAAAAUAUGCAUCACUGUAUUUCUGUCCUUGCUCAAAUUGGCUGCAGUGCAAAUCAGAGGAACCAACUGCAGAAAGAUACACUAAAUGUAAAGACAAUAUGGAAUCUAAAAAAGAGCACAAGCAUAAUUUGAAGACUGCUAGGUUAAAAAACAGAAUGAUAAAAUCCUAAUAAGCUCUCAGACACCUAGUAGUCCACAGGGCUUGAGUUUUCCCCAGAAAACUUGUGAAGGCUAAUUUCUCUGCAGAUACGGAACUGCCAUCUUGAAGUAAAAUCUGGUAAGGAUAUAAUAACAGCGUCUAUUGAAUACACGCACUGUCAGUUUUAUUUACGAAUGUGCGUGGAAGAGACAACAAUGCCCACUUGUGGUAUCCGAGUUCAGAGGGCUGACUGUCCUCAGUGGGGUAUGCAGAUCGCUGGGAGUCCAUAGAAGUCAGGAAGAGAAAAGAGAGAAAAAAGAAGAAAAAAAGAAUUCGAUACCUCUUGCUGAAUCUAGCAUUUACGUAUAGAAGGAUGACAGAUUUCAAGGUAAGGGAGAGGCAAGAGUAAAGCUCUGCAAGUGUGCCUGGCUUCCUAAUGUAGCGAUGUGGAGCUGAAGGGGGAUUUCAGGGUAUUGCUCUCUGCAAACGUGCUCAUGCCUUUUAUUUUCAUUUUAAAGGUAAUUAUAUAAAAUUUUGCUGAAAUAUAACACUCCCAGUAAAGUCUUUUAAAUAUGAGUGUGUGUGUGUGUUCACUCUACUGCCCAGAGUUAAAACUGACAAAUCUGGGGCCUCUGUAAGGAAAAGCGUUUCUCUGCCACAUUCUGUAUAUAGCCAGCAGCUCCUGAGCCACAGCUCUUUCCUUCCAAAGACCAAAUAUGAUUUUACCAGGGAGACUGUGUUGUGUUUUCUCAGCUGUAUUGCUUAUUUCACACAUUUUUUUUUAUUGCUAAUUCUGCCCAACUGAGGGAGCAGAGAGUCUAGCUUGUGGCCUUUCUCAGAGUGCUCCAACAAAUCAAACUGCUAUGACCACUGCUGAAAAAAGAGGUCUUAGGUGGUCAAGAAACUGUGAUGACAGAGAACCAAACAUAAGAUUCAUGUCUUUUUAGUUUGGACUGGAAGUGACAUUAGAGAGCUGUUCCCAGGGCUUGCAAAGAAAGCUACUCAUGCAGAAAGGUUGUGUUUAUGUUCAGUGCGGUCAAAAUCUUUAAGACAGCUAACUUUAUGCCUCCAGAGUUGUCUAUAAAAACAAAUCUGUAUUCUUUUAGCAUGACUUACACUUUAAAAAUAUCUAUUGUAAUGUGCUUCUCUUUUUCAAGACAUGAUAUCAUAGUAUGGUUGUUAUCACUACAAAGUUUAGCACAGGAUAGUGUUUGAGAGGAACCAACAUGGCCUUGCAUUCAGAAAAAGGGAACUCUGAGGCUCAUAAGAUUUCUGAUAUCAUACAGGCAUAUAUCUGCGUUCUCUAUAUUUUCAAUGCAAAUUAUAUUCUCAUUACUUUUUAAUGGAAGUUUUCCAAUAAGCUUGAUUUGUUUUUUUUUAACUUAUGUUGUCAUGCUCAAUCUCUGCAUGGUAUUUCUUCAUUUGUGAGCAACUCAUACACAAUAUUCCUCAGGUCUUUUUUUAGGUAUCCAAAUGAUGAAAAGCUGAGCCCCUCUGUGGGAAGUUGAAAUGAUACUCUCAAGGUCAUUUCAUCCAAAUGACAAUCUUCUUUUUACUCUCCUAAGCUGGCUGCAAAUGCAUUACACAUGUUAGUCAUAAAGUCAAACCCACUGUUUACACGAGAAAGUAGAAGUUGGGGUAAUGCUGUUUUGCACCUGUUGUUAUUCUUGUCCAGUAAGAAAAACUAUGUGUGAAAUACAUUGCUGUGUUUUCCUAAUGAUUUGCAGAAGAGUAAGAGCUUUGCUUAACAAUGGCUGUUUUUUUUCUUCUAAGCAAGGCUUCUGACAUCAUCCUAAAGCAUCUACAGGCAUAAAUUUUUAAGAACAUAAAAAGUUUAUGAGGAUGUGUAAUCACGGAGAAAGAGUCCGGGAUUUUUGUGAAAACAGCAAAAGAAAAAUGUAAAAAGCUAAGCUACAGCACAUACCAGAGGCUGAAGGCUGACUAACAUAAAUCCCAUACAUAUGUAGUAGGAAGUAAUACCAAGAGGAAACUGGAAGGCCUAAUUAAAUGAAGCUCAUACCUGAUGAAUGUUCCUGACGGCACUGGAAUAAUGCAGCAGAAAUGAAGCAGUACACAACAUGGAUCUUGAUUUUAGAAAGGCUUCCUAUACUGUACAAACAAGUCAAAUUCCAUAAUCUAGCUGCUGAGGUAAUAGUGUGCAGCCGCCAACAGCAGACUGCUAAUUAUUAUUUUUUUAAUUUACCUAGUUGGAAUAAGGUAAAAAUCCAGAAAGGUAUAAAGAUUCAUCACUAAAAUUUAGGUGCAUCAUUUAUAUAUCAAUUUAAAUUUAGAAGGCUAAGAAAUGUGUAAUCUAAGUGGUUCUCUGGAUAUUGGUUUGUGGUUGAACCUUUAUUGGGGUAAAACUCAGCACAUGGUAGGUGUGGCCACCUGAACUUUUUCCAUUGUUUCAUCCUUGAAAAUUUGGGUUAUAGCUGUUUGAUUUAUAAGAAAACAUUGUGUUUGAAAAGGAUAAUUUUCAAACAAAAGAAGAAAGUAGCAAUUUUUCCAGUAAAAAAUUUCUGAUAGGAUCAAUAUAGCAGGGGUGGAAGUAGCUUGGUUCAGCUUUAGGCAUUCAGCUUAAUCUGAAGAGUUUUUAUUUUAGCAAAUCAAUCUACUCACCUGUUGGCUUAUCUAAAAGUCUACUGGGGUGUCUGUUCAUCUCUUGGCAUAUCUGUAUAAUAGUAAUAAACAUAAUGGAACAGUUCUGGCAUCCUACUCAAUAACAGAGUGAGAAGAAACUCCAAGAAAAGACAAAAUCCUGCUGAAAACCAGCCACCGAGAAAACUCCAUAUAUGACAGCCAACAUUACACUCCUGACUACAAAAUUCAGAGACCUAUGCAUUUUAACCUGUAAUCACAACCUUUGAUCACAAGGCGUCUCAUGUUCAACAUUCCUUUCAAGGCUCCUUGAUGCUGUAAGAAACACCUGCAAGCAAUCAGCUGGUGCUCUGGAGAAUGCUUUCAGUUCCAGGACAGAAAACGUAAAGAAACAUGAACAUUACACGAAAAGCUUAUGUGGACAUUUUAUAUAUUUGUAGGUAUCUGCCUCUUCUCCCGAAGCCUUUAGAAGCUGUACUUCGUAGUGGAAAGGUAGUAGCCAAAGGCCCUGCAAACCGUCAUGUGUUUUUCUCUUCCACUUGCCAGUUGAUUGACUUAGAAAGGAGACACCACCACUCAGAGCCUUCCUCAGUUUGUGAGUCACUCUCUCCUCUCCCACCAGGCAGCUGGGAUCAGAAGACAUUAGGUAAUUAGCAACGUUGGCAGAAAACCUGCUGAAGCUGGACCACCAUGCUGUAGUUUCUCAGAGAAAUAAUUAUUCCUAACUCUGUAACAGGAUGAAAUGAAAAUUCUCUGGAGAAGAUGCUGGGAGCAACACUUGUCUUUUUGCAUUAGGAAGCACUCGAACAAAAUGUUGUGACAGCCAGGCCUAGUUCCUGAGAUUUAUUUUUUUCUGAGGACUAUCUGUCUGCACUGGUUUCUGGAGAGGCUCAUUUCAUCUCCAUCAGGGAGGACAGAAGAGUGCUCAAGUACUUCAGUCUGGCUUGAUGCAACCAAGACAUCAAACUCACGCUCAGGUUUCAGCCUCAGAGGUCGGAACUAAAAGCAGCUGAGAAUCCAGAUCUUCAUCUUCCGAAGAUAACUGAGCACAUUUCUCCUCCCCAGGAUGCUGGAUAAUCUGUUUGUGACCACGGAGCUGGCAAGUCUUAUCAGUCAGCCUUAUCAGCAUCUUUUAGGCUACCCUGAGCAUAUGCAGUAGCAAAGGGCCAUUCAGGAAGAGCUGCAGAGAUUUGUAUGUUGUGACUCCUAAACAGCCCCAGUCUCCCAGCCCAGUCAAGGUGGUCAUGCACAGAAUUUUAAACACCAGAGAUACUGAGGAGCAUAGGUGUGAAGAACACGCCGUAUUAUUCUCUUAAAAAUCAGUGUUUUAAAUGUGGCCUAAUGUAUUCCUAAGAUAUUUGUGUUCUUGUGUUGUUGCUUCAAAAUAUAGUGAAAAUAACAGGCAAAGAAAUAUAUAUGUGGGAUUGAUUAAACAUUCAAGAUGAAACUCUGUGCUCUUGAUCAGUUUUCCUGAUAGUUCUAUAUCUCUUGCAAUUCUUUAAUUUAUCCCUUCUGAUACGUGUCAGCAGAACUACGUGGAGAUUUUGUUCUGCUCUUUAUUACUCCAAGGUCAAAAUCUAUGAAGUAAGAUAAAUAAUUUAGUGAUUUUGCCCUUUAUACUGAGAGAUGUUAACAGGUACAAUGCAGCCAGGAACGUCUUCAAUUAUUUAAUUCACACAGUCAAAUGAAAGGAACACUGCUGAAACACUUGCCUAAAUUAUAUCUGUAUUUAUUUAAGAUGUUUUGCUAUCAAGCAGUGUUAAAAGCAGUAUGAGUCUUAUUAAAACAACUACUUUUAUCUUGGCAAUCUUCCUUCUCUACUAACACCCUUUAAUGGUUUAUUGAAGGGCUUCCCCUGUCAGGUAAAAAAAAGUCCCAAAGUUACCUGCUUUACCGUCCAUAUUUUCAUCAUCCAUAUUAAAUAAUGCAAUCACCACAAGCAUUAUAAAUUGUAAGAAUCAAUGCUGAGCAGGGACGGCAGUCCAGCCCUAAAGCCAAGGCUGUAUUCCAACAGUUUCAGUAUAGAACUUCUGGCUGGGGCACAGAUGUUCAUUUUCAUGCUGUGAUCUCCAUUCUCCUACUCCCCUUCGCCCAGCCGCGGUUGGCACUGCAGACACGUCUUUAUUGUAACUUUGUUCUUGUGUGGAUUGCUUUAACAAGAAUUGGCAAGUCGAGUAUAUGACGGUUGUAAAUUUAGCAGUAAAUAAAAGGCCUUAGGUAACCUUUUCCCCUUUUCUGGGGUUUAUUAUAUAUUGCUUUGAUUAUUUGAUUAAUAUCUAAACAGUAUCAUCUUUGUAACAUGCUGCCACAAAUAUUUGAGGGAGGAUCAUUUCAUCUAGCUGAAAUACCUGCAGACAUGCCCCAGGACAGUCAUCACUACAUGCUAGCCAUUUGUCUGCUCCAGGUGUGGCUUGGUGCUCUCCAUACAGAGCCUGCAGUGCUGGGCCACCUGCUUCUGGCUUGUGAGCACUCUGGGGGUGACAGAGGGCAGGUCUACCAACCUCCGUGCCUCCUGCUGAAAUGGCCACCUGGGAGAGAAGACUGCAAAAUUCCCAAAGACAGAGGAACGAAGAAAGAAGAGCAUGACUCAAGAGCCGAAUGAAUAACACAGCUGUCUAAAGGAUGGGGAAUAUGGGGACUGCUCCCUGCUACGGAAAUCUUCAUGGCUCCGGAUGGGUUUUUGACCUGAACUGCAAAAGCAAUCCGAGAACGUGGACCCAAAACCUAGGCGUUCUGGUAAAGUCUUCUGAUCAUCAAGGUACAAAAUCCUGCUUUCUCACGUUUGCUGCCACUAGGCCUUUGUCUUGAAGAAACAGGAGCAACUUCUUUGUCUUCUAUAGGUUAGAAGAUGAAAGCUGUCCUAAUCUCUGCUUUCUUUGAUCACUUAUCUAACAAGAACCUGCCACCUACCAGGAUCUUUUAAUAGCAGUGCAAACAGCUCCUAAAGCUGUUGAGGAAUGCUGUUUGCUCCACACCUGUGGAAAUGGAAGGAAUUUGUCAGGAAAAAAACCAAGACAGAAAAUUUUCUACAUUUCAAAGCUGCUUGAAUUUUAUAAUGUUCUCUUUUUACUUUAAAAUAAUGCUUUCGAUAUUUCUGUGGAAUCUUUUGUUUUCCCUUAACAGAAGCAGCCUCCACUCAAUAUUAGUCAAUAUAUAUUAAAUAUAUAUAUAUCAACAAACCAACAAUGUCCAGCUCUGCAAUAUAUGUGUUAUCUCUUUCAAAAUGAAGAAAUAAAUGAUACCG